ACAUACCUCUUUAACAAAUUUCAAAAAUUGGGGUAUUUAACGGAUUUACAUGGGACUUGUUGAAAUAUUUUAGAGUCUGAUUUAAUGCUGAUGUUAAUAAAAUCAAAUAAAAAAAGCAAUCAAGUUCUUCUGAACAUAGCUUUACUAUUAACAUAAAAAAAACGGCCAUUCAUACAUUUUGCAAAUUGUUUGAUAAAUGACAAACGUCAUGAACUUUUAAUUAUUUUUUUUUACCAAAGAACAUAAUCGUUAAAUCGUGUUUUGUUGCUCCACGGAACACUUCGAUAUACCUUUGACUUGAUAAAAAAAAUGCAAUUGCUCUUAAUAUAAUG